rnacentral:rRNA from 1 species
AUUGAACGCUGGCGGCAUGCUUUACACAUGCAAGUCGAACGGUAACAGGGUGCUUGCACCGCUGACGAGUGGCGAACGGGUGAGUAAUGCGUCGGAACGUGCCGAGUAGUGGGGGAUAACGCAGCGGAAGUUGUGCUAAUACCGCAUACGUACUGAGGUAGAAAGUGGGGGACCUUCGGGCCUCACGCUAUUCGAGCGGCCGGCGUCUGAUUAGCUAGUAGGUGAGGUAAAGGCUCACCUAGGCGACGAUCAGUAGCGGGUCUGAGAGGAUGAUCCGCCACACUUGGACUGAGACACGGCCCAGACUCCUACGGGAGGCAGCAGUGGGGAAUUUUGGACAAUGGGCGAAAGCCUGAUCCAGCCAUGCCGCGUGUCUGAAGAAGGCCUUCGGGUUGUAAAGGACUUUUGUCAGGGAGGAAAUCCCUAGUGCUAAUAACACUGGGGGAUGACAGUACCUGAAGAAUAAGCACCGGCUAACUACGUGCCAGCCGCCGCAGUAA